GACGAACGCUGGCGGCGUGCCUAAUACAUGCAAGUCGAGCGCAGGAAACUGACGGAACUCUUCGGAGGGAAGGCAGUGGAAUGAGCGGCGGACGGGUGAGUAACACGUAAGGAACCUGCCUCAAGGAUUGGGAUAACUCCGAGAAAUCGGAGCUAAUACCGGAUAGUUCAACGGACCGCAUGGUCCGCUGAUGAAAGGCGCUCCGGCGUCACCUUGAGAUGGCCUUGCGGUGCAUUAGCUAGUUGGGGGGGUAACGGCCCACCAAGGCGACGUAGCAGAGCAGACCUGAGAGGUGGAUCGGCCAACCUGGGACUGAGACACGGCCCAGACCCCUACGGGAGGCAGCAGUAGGGAAUCUUCCACAAUGGACGAAAGUCUGAGGGAGCAACGCCGCGUGAGUGAUGAAGGUUUUCGGAUCGUAAAACUCUGUUGUAAGGGAAGAACACGUACGAGAGGGAAUGCUCGUACCUUGACGGUACCUUACGAGAAAGCCACGGCUAACUACGUGCCAGCCGCCGCCGUAACAC
rnacentral:rRNA from 1 species